CCUAUUGAAAUAAAAAAAUAAUUUACAGGCAUUGUUCCAUAUCAUUGUUUAACAAAAUUUUCAUUGAAAACAGCCAAGUAGUGACCUAAACAUCCUUCAAUACACAAUCAUGAAACUGUUAAGUUUUCAUUUAAUUCAGCUAAAAUACAGUGAAAUAAAAUGUUUUAAGUUAUUUCUUAUCACACUGAUAAUGUUAACAAACAGAUAAAUGCUUAUUAAUUAAGGUUUAGGAGUGUAUCUUCAAAACACAGAAAUAUUUGAUAAAGGAACAACAUCUUUACAAUUAAUCUACCUGACCAUUACAUGUUCUGCUGUGCUGUCCCAUACGAUGGAUACCGUACUUAAAAUAUUCUCAACAAGAGGUCAUGAUGACCCUGUA
rnacentral:lncRNA from 1 species